AAGCUCUAUCACUGCAUAUGGUCAUAAGGAUGAAAUUACUUGCCUGGGUCCACAAGUGAAGAUUCUUCAAUCAUUCGUUCCACGGGCUCAGAGAGGAAAAAAGUGAUAAAGGGACUGAAAGAAGCUGCUGCCACCUUUGUUUGCUGCUGCUGCUUCUGUUGCUGCUGCUUGUCCUCUGCUGCCUCCUGCCUGCUCUGCCAGCCUCCUCUGCCACACCGACCUGCCCUGGAGCUAGCUGAUUAAGAAACCUCUACGACCUAAAUGAGAAAACUAAACACCAGAGAAGACAGUGGUUGACUGAGCAAAAUCGAUACCAAC